GAGCAUUAGCUUGUUCUUAACGAAAGAAUCAAGUGAAGUUUUGCCUCUUGAAAAAUCCGAUGUUUGUUUGCCGAACGAGAAGGAAUGUGAAUACCGUGAUGAUUCGCAAAGCGAAUCGGCAAUUCUGCAUUCAGCGUCAAGUGCAUUUGAAUUUGAUGUUUCCAUGCGUGAUGAAAAUGAAGAAACCUCAAAUGGCAAUGCUGACGCAAUUGGUUCUGAUAUUAGUGAUAUUAUGAACUAUCCAGUAAAUAUGUCUCAAACGCUGCUCGAGCGCAUCAUACGCACUGGGCCCGUUCAAGUUGUAAUUGCUUUUCCUACAACUAAUUGCCGGUCGUUUUCUGAGUCAUAUUAUA